UUGUGGGGAGGCUUAGGACGGGCGGGUGCAAUCCUCGAAGGGGAGUCUCAGCGACCAUGGGGGACACCAUCCACUCGUCAAGGGAUUCUGGGCCACCCGCCCUUCCUUCUCCACCUUCUACUUCGUCUUUGCCAUUUUUGUGGUGUCCACCAUCUUUCACUGCCACCAGCACCUGGCUCUGGUGCCUGCGCCCUGGGCAUACUCAGCCCGUGUGGUCCUGGCCCCCAGACACCUGCCCCGGGAGGACCUGUUCACUAUCAACUCCAAGGGCCGCC
rnacentral:lncRNA from 1 species